GCCUGGCUGGCUCAGUCGGUAGAGCAUGUGACUCUCAAUCUCAGGGUUGUGAGUUCAAGCUCCAUGUUGGGCA
rnacentral:tRNA from 1 species